rnacentral:rRNA from 1 species
ACAGCAGCCGCGGUAAGACGAACCGUACAAACGUUAUUCGGAAUCACUGGGCUUAAAGGGUGCGUAGGCUGUUCGUUAAGUUGGGUGUGAAAUACCUCGGCUCAACCGAGGAAUUGCGCCCAAAACUGGCGGACUUGAGGGAGACAGAGGUAAGCGGAACUUAGGGUGGAGCGGUGAAAUGCGUUGAUAUCCUAAGGAACACCAGUGGCGAAAGCGGCUUACUGGGUCUCUUCUGACGCUGAGGCACGAAAGCUAGGGGAGCGAACGGGAUUAGAUACCCCGGUAGUCCUAGCCGUAAACUAUGAGCACUAGAUCGAAGGGUCCUCCAUAGCCUUUCGGUCGUAGCGAAAGUGUUAAGUGCUCCGCCUGGGGAGUAUGGUCGCAAGGCUGAAACUCAAAAGAAUUGACGGGGGCCCGCACAAGU